AACGAACGCUGGCGGCAGGCUUAACACAUGCAAGUCGAGCGCCCCGCAAGGGGAGUGGCAGACGGGUGAGUAACGCGUGGGAAUCUACCCAUCCCUACGGAAUAGCUCCGGGAAACUGGAAUUAAUACCGUAUACGCCCUACGGGGGAAAGAUUUAUCGGGGAUGGAUGAGCCCGCGUUGGAUUAGCUAGUUGGUGGGGUAAAGGCCUACCAAGGCGACGAUCCAUAGCUGGUCUGAGAGGAUGAUCAGCCACAUUGGGACUGAGACACGGCCCAAACUCCUACGGGAGGCAGCAGUGGGGAAUAUUGGACAAUGGGGGCAACCCUGAUCCAGCCAUGCCGCGUGAGUGAUGAAGGCCUUAGGGUUGUAAAGCUCUUUCACCGGGGAAGAUAACGACGGUACCCGGAGAAGAAGCCCCGGCUAACUUCGUGCCAGCAGCCGCAGUAA
rnacentral:rRNA from 1 species